rnacentral:pre_miRNA from 1 species
AAUAAGAUUAUUUGUCAGUUUUUUGAUAUAAUGUUUUGACUUUUCGUCUUAUUUGAAAUUUUUUUACGAUUAAUAUUUGUAUUCUUACUAGAUAACAAAAUAAGAAUGGUACUUUAUACGUGACUAACUUUUUUAAGUUUUUAUACAAAUUUUUUAAAUAAGACGAAUGGUUAAAUAUUGGACGUAGAAAA